GAGGAAUAUUGGUCAAUGGACGUAAGUCUGAACCAGCCAAGUAGCGUGCAGGAUGACGGCCCUAUGGGUUGUAAACUGCUUUUGUAUGGGGAUAAAGUCAAUCACGUGUGAUUGUUUGCAGGUACCAUACGAAUAAGGACCGGCUAAUUCCGUGCCAGCAGCCGCGGUAAUACGGAAGGUUCGGGCGUUAUCCGGAUUUAUUGGGUUUAAAGGGAGCGUAGGCCGGAGAUUAAGUGUGUUGUGAAAUGUAGACGCUCAACGUCUGACUUGCAGCGCAUACUGGUUUCCUUGAGUACGCACAACGUUGGCGGAAUUCGUCGUGUAGCGGUGAAAUGCUUAGAUAUGACGAAGAACUCCGAUUGCGAAGGCAGCUGACGGGAGCGCAACUGACGCUUAAGCUCGAAGGUGCGGGUAUCAAACAGGAUUAGAUACCCUGGUAGUCCGCACAGUAAACGAUGGAUGCCCGCUGUUGGUACCUGGUAUCAGCGGCUAAGCGAAAGCAUUAAGCAUCCCACCUGGGGAGUACGCCGGCAACGGUG
rnacentral:rRNA from 1 species